rnacentral:rRNA from 1 species
GAUGAACGCUGGCGGCGUGCUUAAUACAUGCAAGUCGAACGGACUGAUAGGAGCUUGCUCCUAAAAAGUUAGUGGCGGACGGGUGAGUAACGCGUGAGCAACCUGGCCUUCGGAAGGGGACAACAGCUGGAAACGGCUGCUAAUACCGUAUGAUAUAUGGUUGUGGCAUCAUGACUAUAUCAAAGAUUUAUCGCCGAAGGAUGGGCUCGCGUCUGAUUAGCUAGUUGGUGGGGUAACGGCCUACCAAGGCGACGAUCAGUAGCCGGACUGAGAGGUUGACCGGCCACAUUGGGACUGAGAUACGGCCCAGACUCCUACGGGAGGCAGCAGUAAGGAAUAUUGGGCAAUGGGGGCAACCCUGACCCAGCAACGCCGCGUGAAGGAAGAAGGCAUUCGUGUUGUAAACUUCUUUGACGAGGGAUGAAGAUGACAGUACCUCGAGAACAAGCCACGGCUAACUACGUGCCAGCAGCCGCGGUAAUACGUAGGUGGCGAGCGUUAUCCGGAAUUACUGGGUGUAAAGGGCGUGUAGGCGGGCUAUUAAGUCUGACGUGAAAUCCAGGGGCUUAACCCCUGAAUGGCGUUGGAAACUGGUAGUCUUGAGUAAUGGAGAGGCAGGCGGAAUUCCUAGUGUAGCGGUGAAAUGCGUAGAUAUUAGGAGGAACACCAGUGGCGAAGGCGGCCUGCUGGACAUAAACUGACGCUGAGGCGCGAAAGCGUGGGGAGCAAACAGGAUUAGAUACCCUGGUAGUCCACGCUGUAAACGAUGAAUACUAGGUGUGGGGAGACUGACCCUCUCCGUGCCGGAGCAAACGCAAUAAGUAUUCCACCUGGGAGUACGGUCGCCAGAUUAUNC